GGGAAAUAAAAAUAAGCCGCCGAUCGCGAUGGAUUUCGGGGCCACCCGGAGGCCGAGGCGUCCGCCUCCCCAAAGGAGAGCUCUGCUGUAAAAGGGAGGCUUAGCGCUGUGUUAGUGACUCUCCUUCCAGAUCCAAGCAGCAGCUUCCGCGAGGAUGCUCCGCGGCCCCCGGUUCCCGGAGAAGAAGGGGAGACCCCACCGUGUCAGCCUAGCGUGGGCAAGGUCCAGUCCACCAAACCUAUGCCUGUCUCCUCUAACGCUAGGCGGAAU
rnacentral:lncRNA from 1 species